rnacentral:rRNA from 1 species
UACGUAGGUGGCAAGCGUUUGUCCGGAAUUAUUGGGCUUAAAGCGCGCGCAGGCGGCCUCUUAAGUCUGAUGUGAAAGCCCCCGGCUCAACCGGGGAGGGCCAUUGGAAACUGGGAGGCUUGAGUAUAGGAGAGAAGAGUGGAAUUCCACGUGUAGCGGUGAAAUGCGUAGAGAUGUGGAGGAACACCAGUGGCGAAGGCGACUCUUUGGCCUAUAACUGACGCUGAGGCGACGAAAGCGUGGGGAGCAAACGG